UUAGAACAUGUAACAUUAUGCAUAUGGCGGCCUCUUCCUUCUCUCUUUCGUCCUCCUCUCCGUCGAAUCCAAUUUUAAUCAUUUCAGAACCCAUUUUUGUCUAUGUUGCUUUGUCCACUACACUUUUACCCUCCAUCGCUGCUGCAUCUUCAACAGAAUCGAAGGUUCCAAGCUACACACGCGCCUUCUUCCUCACGCUAUAGAACCGCAUUUCGCGAACGUUGUUUCCCUAUUGUCGAUGCUCCUAGCCUGUGCGACGAUUUCCGAUCCUCUUGCUCUCUAACGACACUCUUCUCCAGUAACAUCUCCUAUGAUGAUGUCUCCUCUAACUUCCUCUCCUUGCCGUCCUAGCUCUGUGUCUUUUCCGCCAUCAGCACCUCCCUUUCGUUCUGAAUAUGGAAGUUUCUGCUGUGGUCUGAGGGAUCGCCAUUCUCAACCUCAAUGCUGUCCAAGGAGGGUAGAAUAUGCUAUCCAAGUUGGUGCCACAAGAAGAACAAGUCAGAGGCUAGUGUGUUAGUUCAGCAUGUAGCAAUUGUCUGGUUUUCAUGUUGAGAAUAGACUCAAGGAAGAGGUUCUGAAGUGGGAAGAUGCAGAAAUCGGAGAGCUAAAAGAAGGCGAGGUGCGCACGAGGAACAAAGCCAUUGGCCUUAAUUUUAUCGAUGUCUACUUUCAGAAAGUUUAUAAAGCCCUCUCAUUGCCUUUCACACCAGGUUUUUGGAGUUUAUUUACCUCUUAUCAAUUGAUCUGUCAUAAAACACUUAUGCCAAUGCCAAAAAAAAAGAAAAUAAAAAGAAGA